GUGGGGAAUUUUGGACAAUGGGCGAAAGCCUGAUCCAGCCAUGCCGCGUGCAGGAUGAAGGCCUUCGGGUUGUAAACUGCUUUUGUACGGAACGAAAAGACUCCUUCUAAUAAAGGGGGUCCAUGACGGUACCGUAAGAAUAAGCACCGGCUAACUACGUGCCAGCAGCCGCGGUAAUACGUAGGGUGCAAGCGUUAAUCGGAAUUACUGGGCGUAAAGCGUGCGCAGGCGGUUAUAUAAGACAGAUGUGAAAUCCCCGGGCUCAACCUGGGAACUGCAUUUGUGACUGUAUAGCUAGAGUACGGUAGAGGGGGAUGGAAUUCCGCGUGUAGCAGUGAAAUGCGUAGAUAUGCGGAGGAACACCGAUGGCGAAGGCAAUCCCCUGGACCUGUACUGACGCUCAUACACGAAAGCGUGGGGAGCAAACAGGAUUAGAUACCCCGGUAGUCC
rnacentral:rRNA from 1 species